rnacentral:lncRNA from 1 species
GUUGCUUUGCCUCGCACCGAAGAUGCUUUCGAGAUAUAUCGAGUUAUAGCGAUUACCAGAUCGUGCAAUAGUUUCGCUAACGACAGUGAAUAUUUAAAACAGGAAUCGUUCUCUGACCACUGACAAGAGAUAGUUUCAGUUAUCAUUUUGGAUCAAGGUAACAGAGUAUUCUCAGGUCUAAUGAAGCUGAAGGAAAAGGAGAAAAUUGUUUACGAAAAGACGAUAGAUAAAUAGUAGCCUAGACACUUUAGGCGAUUUACCGACGAUAGAGUUCGAACUUCUCAGAUUCGAAAUAGAAAAAUCAGCGCUAAACAUUGCGGAAUUAAGAAAUAUUACGCCACUACGCAGUAACAGUAGAUUAGCAUUCAACGGUUACGUCAAAGUAUCAACAAUUAUUUCAUCUGAAUGGUAUUCAAAUAGAAUAUAAAACAUCAACCGACGGUUUGACUUUGCCUGUGUUUACUGGGAGACGGACAAUACAAAUAGAGAAGGACGGAAACUUAGCAGAGAGAAUAGAACAGGCUUUCAAGAAGCGAAGAUUGAACAAAGAAGAAAAGCAAGUUAGAAAGAGAAGAGAGAUUAGAAGCGAAGAGUUUUGAGGAGACAGGGAAGACUUAGAAAAUCGAUUCUUGAGUUUUCACGAAUCGAUCGCCUGAUUUCCAAAAUAUUACACCAUUACAUAAAUAUAUAUAUAUA